UUGAACUGUCCUAUGAUGCCUUCAGUGAACU
rnacentral:piRNA from 1 species